GUGAAGAGAGUGAAGGGAUGAAGAGAACGAGAAGAGACAGUGAGGAGGUGAAGGUCUGGACGGAAGGGUGGAACGGGGAUGGAGGGAGGGGUGAGGGGGUGCUGGGAGGGGGUGGGGAGGGGGAGGAGGGCGUGAUGACCCCGGAAUGUAAAUGAUGACGUCCCCUGGAAUAUCGAAGACAGAGGGUCGUGAAGGUGCAUAUUCAAUGGACGCCGCGGUGAAUAUGGAACGGAGGGCGUCGCGUUUACUGUGUGGAGGCGACCGCGGCCAGUCUCCUCCCGGGGCCUGCUCAGGUCGCCGCGCCCUCCCGACGACGGCGGCGGCGAAGAAGGCGGCGGCUGGAAAUCCCUCGCCGUGAAGGUCCCCGCUAUCCCCGCCGCGCCACGCACUGCCGCCCCAGAGUCUCCGCUGCGCCGCCGUCCCUCUGAUCCUGCCGCUGCCGCCGUCUUCGCUGCCGCCACGCGAGUCAAGACAACGGUACCCGGAUCAACAACACCCGGAAUAACCGUACCCGUAUCAUACCUAUUCGGAUCCGAAACAGUAGUGCCCGAACCAGAGUAAAUUCAGAAAAAUUACAAGUUCCUUCACUACAGUCACCACAAUCACCAUCUUCGCCGCCGCCGCCGCCACCGCCACCGCCGCCACCGCCGAAUUGUGAACAUCCCGCCAAUCUUGAGUGCAACAUGUGCGUGUGUGCGCGUGUACGUGUGCGUGCGUACCGCGUGUGUCUUGUGUACCGUAGUGUGUCGCGUGGGGCACCUGUGUGUGUGUGUGUGUGUGUGUCAGGUGGGGGCGCGGAGAGGGGCGCGGUGCAGGGGACGAUGAAGGGAGCGACAGAAGAACAGCAAGGCAGGACGGCACCCCCUUCCCCCUCCCCCUCCCUCCCUCAGGCCUCUACAGAUCGUACCCCAGCAUUCUGCACACACACACACACACACACACACACACACACACACACACACACACACACACACACACACACACACACACACACACAAAGCGGUGAUGUUAUGAACAUCUGCGAGGCUUCACUGUUUCAAAAGCAAGAAUGAUGCAUCGACAAUAGGCCUCACUGGAGCUUCGAUGGACGCAGCAUGAAGAGCCGAGUGAAGCACAGGACGGAACAGUGAAGCAGUGAAUCAAGCAGUGAGUGACCCAGUGAUCGAAAAUUACUGUGAUAAUGAAAAAAAAAAAAAAAGUAUAUAAAAAUCUGGUUGGGUAACUACGAGGCACCGAGUGAAGCAGUGAAGCAGUGAAUGAACCAGUGAGUGAACCAGUGAUCGAAUAUGACUAACAAUGACUAAAUAAGAAAGAAAAUAAAGAAAAAAGUUUGUUGUUUUAAAUUUUGCAAUGAAAUUUUUAAGAUUCAGUUCUGUUUCUUAGUGAAGCAUUUACUUGAAACAGUGAAGCAGUGUUUUGCAGUGAACUGUUACAGAAAAUUACAAUUUCCAUUCGCGUAAAAUGUAAAAAUACAAUGAUCGCAAUGAUGACAAAGAAUUAUAUUGACGAAAAUCAUGACAAGAAAUAAUAAUGCUGACAAGGUAGUGCAUUCAUGCUGUCCUUCAUCAAUUCAUCAAUCAACAAAUACUAAAUGACGGUGAAUGACAGAUGAGUGAAUGAAACAGUGAUUUUCUAAUUUUGUUUAAGAAGUGAGAAAAAAAUGGAUAAAAAAACUACAAAUUUCAGGAAACAUUAUACAAAGGUAACCUCUGAGACCUUUAACCAGAGCUAUGCGUCCCUUUAAAACCUGUAAAAAAAAAAAAAAUAAAUAAAUAAAUAAAUAAAAAUAAAAAAAUAAAAAUAAUAUUAAAUUUUUGCUUUAAAAAUUUUCGUCUAACAUUACACAUGAUUAAAUCAUGAAAAUUAAAAGAUGAAUAUUAAUAUGAAAAGUACAUAUUAAUUGAUUGUGUGUUUUCUUUUAAAUAUUGAAUGUCUUAAUUUAAUUUAAAAACCUCAAAAGAAUAUUUUACAUAUUUAAAACACAUCCCUGUAAUCGGGUAAAAUUUUUGAUUCAUUUUUUUUUCUCUCUUUUUUAAGGUUAAAAAAAUUAAGAAAAUUUUGCGAUUAAAAAAUUUUCCUUCAAAAUUACAAAUGUUUAAUCAUGAAAUGUAGAAGAAGAAUACUGAUAUAAAAAAUAUUAUAUCAAC